GAUGAACGCUGGCGGCGUGCCUAAUACAUGCAAGUCGAGCGAACGGACGAGAAGCCUGCUUCUCUGAUGUUAGCGGCGGACGGGUGAGUAACACGUGGAUAACCUACCUAUAAGACUGGGAUAACUUCGGGAAACCGGAGCUAAUACCGGAUAAUAUUUUGAACCGCAUGGUUCAAAAGUAAAAGACGGUCUUGCUGUCACUUAUAGAUGGAUCCGCGCUGCAUUAGCUAGUUGGUAAGGUAACGGCUUACCAAGGCAACGAUGCAUAGCCGACCUGAGAGGGUGAUCGGCCACACUGGAACUGAGACACGGUCCAGACUCCUACGGGAGGCAGCAGUAGGGAAUCUUCCGCAAUGGGCGAAAGCCUGACGGAGCAACGCCGCGUGAGUGAUGAAGGUCUUCGGAUCGUAAAACUCUGUUAUUAGGGAAGAACAUAUGUGUAAGUAACUGUGCACAUCUUGACGGUACCUAAUCAGAAAGCCACGGCUAACUACGUG
rnacentral:rRNA from 1 species